AUGUGAGCCUGCUCCUCAGAAGUCUUAAAGAUACAUGGGCGAAAGGCCCUAAUUUUAAAAAUUCCACUUGAGGAUCAAACAGAACCCCAGUUUAUGUGAAAACGAGAGAAAAUACAACACAGCAAAGCUGGAGAUACUUGAAAGGAAGAUGAAUAUUCCACUUCUGCAGACUUCAGAAAGACCCUCAUCCUUGAGAUCUCUGUCAUCCUCCCUUGGAAGCAGCGUUCAAGGUUUCGGGUUCAACUUUAAGGUUGGUCCCCCAGGACAGGAAGAAGUAGGAGCCUUGUUUAAUGACCCUUCAGCUCUCCAAAUUGAAACAUGGACCCUUUUCUCAUCUGGCUGAUUUUAAAAAUAACACAUUGGAAAUAGAGACGGAGGCCCUGUGUACCCCCUUCACCUCCCUAAAGUCCCUCUGGUCUGUGCUCUCCUAUCACUUCUGGGAUCUUCAUUCAUAUUGAAAGACAAAUAGAAAACUCAUUUCUUGACCUGGGUUUCUGCUUCAGUCCGGAUUUCAACAAGUUCAGGCUCAGAGGAGCUCGGUGAUCACAUCUGAGGGAACCCAAAUGGAUGCUCAAAGAAGCAACUGGAUCCAGGGAGAAGGUUGACCUCGAACUCCUGGGUUCCUGUGAAUCUCUUGCCUCAGCCUCCCAACUAUCUGGGCCUGCAGGAAAGAAAAAGUAAGGAGGAAGGAGAAAAGA